rnacentral:rRNA from 1 species
UUGAUCCUGGCUCAGAUUGAACGCUGGCGGCAUGCCUUACACAUGCAAGUCGAACGGUAACGCGGGGCAACCUGGCGACGAGUGGCGAACGGGUGAGUAAUAUAUCGGAACGUGCCCAAUCGUGGGGGAUAACGUAGAGAAAUUUACGCUAAUACCGCAUACGAUCUAAGGAUGAAAGCGGGGGAUCGCAAGACCUCGCGCGAUUGGAGCGGCUGAUAUCAGAUUAGGUUGUUGGUGAGGUAAAAGCUCACCAAGCCGACGAUCUGUAGCUGGUUUGAGAGAACGACCAGCCACACUGGGACUGAGACACGGCCCAGACUCCUACGGGAGGCAGCAGUGGGGAAUUUUGGACAAUGGGCGAAAGCCUGAUCCAGCAAUGCCGCGUGCAGGAAGAAGGCCUUCGGGUUGUAAACUGCUUUUGUACGGAACGAAACGGCUCUUUCUAAUAAAGAGGGCUAAUGACGGUACCGUAAGAAUAAGC